rnacentral:rRNA from 1 species
AGAGUUUGAUCAUGGCUCAGGAUGAACGCUAGCUACAGGCUUAACACAUGCAAGUCGAGGGGCAGCAUGAACUUAGCUUGCUAAGUUUGAUGGCGACCGGCGCACGGGUGAGUAACACGUAUCCAACCUGCCGAUGACUCGGGGAUAGCCUUUCGAAAGAAAGAUUAAUACCCGAUGGCAUAGUUCUUCCGCAUGGUGGAACUAUUAAAGAACUUCGGUCAUCGAUGGGGAUGCGUUCCAUUAGGUUGUUGGCGGGGUAACGGCCCACCAAGCCUUCGAUGGAUAGGGGUUCUGAGAGGAAGGUCCCCCACAUUGGAACUGAGACACGGUCCAAACUCCUACGGGAGGCAGCAGUGAGGAAUAUUGGUCAAUGGACGAGAGUCUGAACCAGCCAAGUAGCGUGAAGGAUGACUGCCCUAUGGGUUGUAAACUUCUUUUAUACGGGAAUAAAGUGAGGCACGUGUGCCUUUUUGUAUGUACCGUAUGAAUAAGGAUCGGCUAACUCCGUGCCAGCAGCCGCGGUAAUACGGAGGAUCCGAGCGUUAUCCGGAUUUAUUGGGUUUAAAGGGAGCGUAGGCGGACGCUUAAGUCAGUUGUGAAAGUUUGCGGCUCAACCGUAAAAUUGCAGUUGAUACUGGGUGUCUUGAGUACAGUAGAGGCAGGCGGAAUUCGUGGUGUAGCGGUGAAAUGCUUAGAUAUCACGAAGAACUCCGACUGCGAAGGCAGCCUGCUGGACUGUAACUGACGCUGAUGCUCGAAAGUGUGGGUAUCAAACAGGAUUAGAUACCCUGGUAGU